GUGGCUCCCUUCUCUUCCAACCUUUUCCUCCACCUCGGGGUUUCAACUUAGAUCUCAGGCGUUUUCUGUAUUCUCCCUGUAUUUAUUUGCAUCUUUCUUCAUCCUCCAGGUUCUCCUUCCUUUCACCCACUCUUCAAUCACGUAUCCACUUCAUAACUCGGAUUCCUCUCAAGUGCAAGUUUAUAUAAAUGUCCUCACGAUCUGUCCGAGCUCAGUCAUAUUCUCCUUUCUUUGCCGGCGUGGCUUUUCAUUUUUUUCCCGCUCCUUAGGUUUGAUUCUUUCCCGACCUUCUCCGCAGAAAGAACUGUUCUUUAAUCCAAAGGAAAGUGUUUAUCUCGCGCACCCAAACUCUUCAAGUUUCCAAGGGAAUCUAGCAAUCACUUAGGUCCCUUUCAUAUCUUCAUCGAUCUUUCGUGUUGCUGCAAGGGUUCGUCCUUGUUAUCUUGAAGACUUUUUUUUUUUUAAUUUUUUUAAAUGAUUUUCCCCUUUUGUUUCGUUCGAGGGGUUGAGGUCUCCCGUGGUAGCUGGAUUCCUUCCGGAUCACAGGGCCUAGCGCGUGUACCAAACAUGUUUGAACCCCUGGCAAUAGGCCACAUAUACAAUAAGCUCCACCAGCUCAUGAUCUUGCUACUAAUAUAAAAAAAAAGUUGCACAUAAAUCGAUAAUCAAUUGCCCCUUAUUUCUCCGUUCCAUCUGGAGUUCCUCUUUCUAACUAGUCUCCCAGUUAGCUAAAGAGCUUGUUAACUAUUUCCUGAUGCUAUAUUCUUUUGGAUGGAGAGAAGUAACAGUUGCAUGGAGGGCCUGUCAGUCGUUGUUUGCGGAUGUAGCAUCAUCAAGAUUCACAAGCAAAGUGCGAUCUAUACUCUCUGUGAGUGUCAAAGCCAUGGUCCUUUGGGAGUGAGAAUCUUGAUGAUGCUGCAUCGGCCAUAAACGGCUUUAAGGUAAAUUACAGGUACUAUUGAUUAAAAGGGAAAAGAGAAAAGGUCGGGAGGGGCACACAUAAUUCAGACCUUCAAAAGAUAGUGUCUGCUCCACACAAUUAAAUAUCGACAGGGGUUGGGUGGCCCGGCCUUGCUUCUCGUGCUUGUAUGGCUCCUUAUGGCCCUCGCCAGCAAUCCUAGGUUAUCUGAGGCAAGCUCUUUUGCAGGCUCAGUUAAGUGGCUAUGAGGUGAUAUCUUGCGUGCUGAUGACUUCACAGAUCUGUCAUAUAAAUUUCAUUUAUUUUUUUAUAGAAACACGUGUAGUGUCUUUCAGGCCGUUCAGGCGCGGAGAAUUCCCUAAUUUAGGGGGAUUUAGAAAUUGAAGAGGGAGAGAGAAUUCAGAUCUGUACUUGAGAGGUAGCCAGGUAGGUAGGUAGCAGCUUGAUAAAAAGCAUCGGAGGUUUUGCAUCAAAAUGGACGCGUUCACAUGCCUCGAUUAUCUACAUGUCGCGCCGCGAUCCAUCAUCCAGUAUUGUCCGGCCUAAAAUUUCAUGAUUGAGAUAACAAGAUAACGAUUAUCGUUGGUGAGAAAGGGAAGGUUUGUGAUCGAUUCUAUUGAUGAUGUCAGUGAGAAGGAUCGUUUAACCAUUUAAUUCUAUUUUCCUUGGUAUGGGAUUUGGCCAAUUGUGUUUGAAUAUCUUUGAGAAGGAAACAAAGCAGUUCACCAUAAUGUCAACCUCGAUCAGACAGACGCAGCGCACAAGUUGAAUAAUAUUGACGGGGCUGGAGAUGUGGAGUUAAUGAAGGCGAUAAGACUUAUUAAGAAGAAAAUGAGAGAGCACGGAUGCAAGCAAGAGGGAGGGGGAUGGGACAGAGUUUGGGUUUUGGUCCCCAGUGGCAGGGUGAGUGACUGAGUGGGGUGUACAUGUGGCAGGCAUGCAACUCAAGGACAAUCGUGGGCCCCACUCACUUCAUCUUUCCAGACAACACAAUCCAUCCCAAUAAUUAUUCCUCCCUGCUUUUCCAAUCCUUCUUGGUUCCUUUUCGUUACAGACCAUCACUUGGAGUGCUAAUUCUUUCAAAGAUGUUCCUUCGUGUUUUCAUGGACUGAAUAUGUUUAAAGGACCAUAAUCCUUUCACAUUCAGACCGACACCCACCAGUUGAUUUCUUUUCCAAUUUUUCAUGAGACUUUCAAA